GUGUGUGAUCCAUUCAGCACUUAUGCAUUAGGUUCCAUUGGAACUCUGCAGUUAAGCGUGCUUGGAUGAGAAUGGUACUAAGAUGAUCUUUGUCGCGGGACUUCCACAGAAACAGGCA
rnacentral:rRNA from 1 species